rnacentral:misc_RNA from 1 species
AACGGUCUAUACCUGCGGUACCUGCGGAAGGAUCAUUACAGGACUCGCAAGACUCCUACAACCCUGUGAACUUAACUAUAAGCACGUUGCUUCGGCGGGUGUCUCGGCGAGGGUUCUCCCUCCCCGGGGCGCUAAGCCCGCCGGCAGCCUACUAUACUCUGUCUCUUUGCGUUGGCAUCUCGAGUACAAACAAACAAGUUAAAACUUUCAGCAAUGGAUCUCUAGAUCGGAAGAGCACAC